UUCCAACUGGUUGAAGGCCUUUCGGCUUUAGGGUUUUACUCUUCUAUAUAUAAACCUAAACGCCAGCUUUUCCUUCAUUUCGCCGCUGACCCUAUUGAACAACAAAAAACCAAAGGUUAACCAUGAGAGCUAAGUGGAAGAAGAAGCGUAUGAGAAGGUUGAAGAGGAAGAGGAGAAAGAUGAGGCAAAGAUCUAAGUAGUACAGUCUUUGUUGUUCUUCAUGGAUAGUUAUUUGAUGGGUACUUUUUUUUUUGAAGGAUUUAAAGCUGUUGUUUUCAUUUUCAUGGCUUAGGGUUUUUGUUCUUGUAUUUUUGUUGAACCAUUUUCAUCUACUUGAUAAAUGUUAUUGAGUUUUUAAGGAUUGAAAUGAUUUGAAUUGGAAAA